rnacentral:rRNA from 1 species
GAUGAACGCUAGCGGCAGGCUUAAUACAUGCAAGUCGAGGGGUAGCAAGAUUGUAGCAAUACAAUUGUUGACGACCGGCAAACGGGUGCGGAACACGUACACAACCUUCCUACAAGUGGGGAAUAGCCCAGAGAAAUUUGGAUUAAUACCCCGUAACAUAGCGAUGUGGCAUCACAUUGCUAUUAUAGCUUCGGCGCUUGUUGAUGGGUGUGCGGCUGAUUAGAUAGUUGGCGGGGUAACGGCCCACCAAGUCUACGAUCAGUAGCUGAUGUGAGGUCAUGAUCAGCCACACGGGCACUGAGACACGGGCCCGACUCCUACGGGAGGCAGCAGUAAGGAAUAUUGGACAAUGGACGCAAGUCUGAUCCAGCCAUGCCGCGUGAAGGAUUAAGGUCCUCUGGACUGUAAACUUCUUUUAUAAGGGACGAAAAAAGGUCUUUCUAGAUCGUCUGACGGUACCUUAUGAAUAAGCACCGGCUAACUCCGUGCCAGCCGCCGCGGUAAUAC